UCGAACCCAUGAACUGGGAGAUCAUGACCUGAGCCCAAGUCGGAUGCUUAACCGACGGAGCCACCCGGGCAGCCCGGUAAGGCCUUGUGAUGGGCAGCUUCUCCAGGCUCUCGUGUGGAGAGAGUCCUGGGAGGAUUCUUAGACCCACGUCCGUGCUUUGGAGGAGAAACCAGAGCCAUGGAACGUUGGCUGCAAGUAGGGGAGGUCCCUGGCAAGCCCGGGGUGUGUGUGAUGCUAAAAAACCACGAUCAGUAGCUGAGUAUUCAACACCCACCAGUUCACUUUCAUCAGCUGUCCACCUGCCGGUAGAAUCAUCAUCCAACCAUCCAUCCGUCCACUGUCCACUCCUCCAGCAUCCAUCUCCCAAUUCCCUCAUUCCCCCCUCUCCCCAUUCACUCACUUCCCCCCAGUCCUGUCGCCCCCCCCCCCCAUCCCUCACCACUGACUCUGCACCUGGUCCUGUGCUGGAUGCUCAGUGUGCAACGAGUACGACUGCGAUCUUCCUUCAAACCCAGUGAGGCAGGCAGACGCUUCGUCUACGCGAGGGAGGUGAAUGGAGGGUGGUGGAGGGUUCUAGAAGGUCUGAGGUUUCAGACCUGGAAGACCUAGACAGGCAUCAGAGUUAGUCCCGCGAUGCUAAGUCUGGGAAACCGAGGUCUAGAGAGGAGAUAAGACAUGCCAAGUCACAGAGUCAUAGGGGGGCGGGGGUGUGCUCAGGUCUCACUCCCAUUUCCCUGUUCUUUCCGCCAGGCUCUAGGCCCCACUUCCCCAUCCAUACUCAGCAACACUGGAGGCCAAACGCUCUCAACCCCUUAGUGCCUGGCGCGGCCCUGGGCCUGGGGAAGGGGACCUUCCCUGUUGCCACGGCACGCCUGCGCUGUCCCCACGGACAAUCAGAUUGGUAGAGCUUUCUCAUGCUCUUCCCAUCGUCCCACGGAAAACCCACCACAGUUCCGGAGCACUGGCAUCACCACCCCUUUUUACAGAAAAGGGGGCUCAGAGGGGGGAAGGGGCCUGCCUAGAGUCACACAGCUCGAGUGCAGUGGAGCCAGCAUCCUGAGUCACCGUUCUGAACCUGAUCUGAGACACCAGGCGGCACCUCACAUAGCCUUGAAUGUUCUGGCCCCAGGCCGAUGUUGCGCCAUUGAAGUCAGGGGCUGCUGACAGGUAGGUUCGGAGGGGACGGGAACGUUGGGGGAAGGACCCUGAAAAGGAAACCCCGGAGAUUGUUUUCACCUGGAAGGGCUCCGCCCCGCCCAGCAAUGGAAAAUGUGUGUCAGAGGAAGCCGCUGGCUGGGGAUGGGGUAGGUGUGCGUGGGUGAGCAUUUGGAGGGGCACAACGGGGGAGGGGCAGGAUGUGCUGGGGUUGGUGGGCAAGGUCGGGGUGCCGGAGCGGGGCGCGGGCUCUGCCCUCUGCCCACUGCCUUUUUCUCUCUGGUUCUCGCUUUCUUUCUCAUGCUCUCAGAACUAACAAUACAACUUUCACUUCCAGACAGAUGGGCCGACUGUCCUAUGAAAGCUGUCCCCACGCCCUACCUCCCAGAUCCCCUUGGCCAAUUCGCUCUGCUCGGUAGUUACCGCAGCAAGCAUUUAUUGAGCACCUGCUGCAUGCUCAGAUGCAGGGAUGCAGGAUGGCCUCUUCCCUGCCCAGAGAAGUGCACAACCUGGUGAAGACAGAAAUAUGACGAGACAGGGCCAUUGUGACAAGGUACCGCAAAGCCGGGGUUAAGAUAACGCGGACUUAUUCACUCUCUGUUCUGGAGGUUCGAGGAUUGAAAUCGAGAACAAAAGGAGUCUCCAGCAGCAGAGGAUUGUAAACCUCCAGUCCCGAGUGAGCGGCUAGUUCCCGGGUCAAUAAUUGUGAUGACCACAGAUCACGUUAGGACUUUGCUUCCCCCGCAAUGAUUUUUUGAGUUUCGUCAAAAUCUGGGUGUGCACAGAGGGGAGGGGGUGGGGGGGGGGCUGUAUGUGGGAAUGUCCACUGUUUGUCCAGCACACCGCAGUGGACGCUGGGGUGGACAGGGCUGGUUCCAUCAAACCUAUCCAUUUCAAAGAUGGGAAAACAGAAGCUCAGAAAUGCCACGGUCACCCACACACAUCAAUCCAGUUUUACCAGCGGAGUUCAAUAGACCUGCAGAUUCAUGGAGCCCGAAGACUUAGUCAUUCAAAUAUGUAUUGAGCACCUAUUAUGUGUCUGACACUGUGCUAGAAGCUGGGGCAUCACAACAACUAAAGGCUCAGAGACUCGGGGCGCCUGGGUGGCUCAGUUGGUUAAGCGUCUGACUUCGGCUCAGGUCAUGAUCUCAUGGUCUGUGAGUUCAAGCCCUGCGUCAGGCUCU